UUUCUUUUUAAAUUUACACCAAAGACAUAUUCUGUGAUUGUACAUGGGAUCUAUGUGUGUUACAGUGUUACAGUAACACCAUGGAGCUCGUGGCAGCCUGCAGGCUUUCAUUCUCUUGAAUGUCAUGUUCUCACAUUUGGCCUCUACAAAGAAAAGCCAAGGCCAAGACAGAAAAGGAUGUUUCUUACACCGAGGAAAAAACGAUCUACUGAGAGAACGCCAGGUGACUCCAGCAGCGCUCUGGCACAGAUAUUCCAACAAGACCCAAGCUUGUGGACCUUCCUGACAAUGCCAUCUGUGGUUAGGGAGGUUUGUGAUGCAGCUGCAGCGCUCUGGUUCAUGACUUGCAGUGAUGCCAGUGUAAUUUUGAUGCUGCCAUAUUAGCUUUGUUUCCAACUCUAGCAUAAAACUCACUCUUAAAGUUUCAGGUCCUCUGGGAUGGAAGCCUCUGUUUGGAGCUACAACUGGCAAAGGGAUGUGUGAUAUGCAUGUACAGCUCACUCCUUUUUUUAUUUCAGG
rnacentral:lncRNA from 1 species